CUCACCCCCCGGGCAGAACAGCGGCCGCAAGAGGCCCUAGGAGCCUCAUACAGGAAGGAAACGCCGCCUGGGAAAGAACUCUUCCGGGGGGAGUCGCGGCCCGCCCCCUCGCACGGAGCAUGCGCCACCGCGGCUGAGGUCUGGAGGGGCGCGUUUCCGGGUUUUGGAAGUGGUGUGGCGGUAUUCGGCGUUAGUGAGGUCACGCUCCAGAUUCCUAACCUGCUAUCUGCUGGGCGGAACCUCUGAGUUUAGCUGAGUCUCGGAGAUGGAAUUGGGGCAGGCGCUCGUCACAUAAAGUCCGUGCCCUGCUCGCGGGCUCCUGUCGCAACACUGACAAAUCCGGGAGGCUUCGUGAGAGUGAAAAAAUGAGAGAUGAGGCACCAGAGGUCCCCAGGGAGCAAAUCUGAAAGCCAGCGCCUCCUGAGCACAGGCUGCCAGGGGCGAGACGACAUUAGACAUUGUCCCCAGAUAUAAGAAGCAUCACUUCCUUCAGACAGAGCAGAUUGAUAGAUGAAGCAUAAAACAAGACCAGAUGCUGUGGUUUCCAGGAUGCACUUGGCUUCCCAUCCUUUAUAACCUGGAGCACUUUUUGCCGUCUGUGUCUGAUGUGUCCACCAGAGACCAGUCCCAUCAGGUAUCCAUAGGGUUUAAGAACAUGGACAUUGCAGCCCAAGAGACUUGGCUUUAGAUAUUGCCGAGUGACUUUUGCACAGAAGAAAGAAAUUAGUUCAACGGAUGAAAGUGAGAUGCUGAACCAGAUUUGAGAUUUUAGAGGUCAAUCCUUUGCAUGUCUUAUCAUUUCUUUGCAAACUAUAACCUUUUUGUUACCCUUGAGGACUAUCAUAACAUCAGAGCUGCUAUUCUUCAUACAAUAUUUAAUUCGUUUGAACAUAACAUGUUUUUAAAAAAAUAUUUACUAUGUGCAACUCAUGGAAAUGCUCCUAAAAUUGAGAGAGUUCUACUGAGCAAAAGAAAUGGAAUAUCCUGUUUAGAGACUGAGUGCAUGGCUUCCAAAGGCAAAGGCAAGGGCAAAACUUGCUAAUUUUAGAUGUUUAGGGAUGAAAUAUCUACUAGACCUUGUUUCAUCUUAGGCCCAACGGUAGCGUGCUAGCAAGCUAAUGUUAAAUUUGCCCUCCCCACAUGUUUAUUGCCAGUGUUUCUGGAAACAGAAAAACAAAACAAAGGGGUAAGGAAAAAAAACAGCAAAGUCUGUAUGUAACUUGAGUUAGAGAAGUGCAGGAAACAAAUCAAGUAUACUAAGUUAGCAGUGCUCAAAGUCCCAUUCAACUUCAGAAUAGUAUACCUGGUAGAGUUUCACAAACCUUUCUCCUUUCUAGCCUGCUGCUUAUUAAGUUGAAAUGCCAGAACCAUUCUGAGAGCUUUGAAUGCCCAUAUAAGGCCUGGAGCCAGAGACAUGCCCCACACCCAUUUCUUUAUAUUUUCUGAAUUCCCAAGUAAACGAGAGAUCAGAAAAAGGGACAGUAAAGGAAAGGAGACAAAGAGGUCGACUCCCCAACAGUGUUUUCUUGCCCUUUGGUGUUUUGCAAAAAGCUGAAGAGAUGCUAAUGAUUCUUUAACCAGCUGAAAGCAGCGUUAGAAUUCUGUCUAGAUAUUCUUGAACCUCUGGGCAGUGUUCCACCUUCCACACUCCAAUCCAUCCAUCAUUCAAUACCACUUAUGCUAGAUAAACUGGCUUGCCAUAGUUUAUUAUCAUGUUGUCCUCACAGACUAGUAUUCAAGGAGCCUCCCCUGACCACUUCCUUGGGACUCUUGGAAGUAAACAGAGAAACAGUUUAAAUGAAUGGUAAAAACCCAUGAAAUACAGUGAUUGUUUUUUUAGGGGUGGGGGGAGAGUAAAUAAUCAUAUGUCUUCAGUUGAGAGAAUCAUAAGGAUUUCUAGCACAUGAAUACACAUUCACAGCCCAAAAACAGAAGACAACUAAAAAAUCUCAGCAGAGGGACGUUUCCUCCUCAUUCCAUAGGAGGGUGGGGAUCUAUGGCACUCCAUUUUAAUGAUCAUCCCCAAAUUCCAUUUCUGUGCCCAACACAGUAAAGCAUUUCCAAGUACAGAGUGUCAGACAGGUGAACAACAACGAACAGCCUCUGUCAAAAUAGUUUGAAGCAUGCAAGAUGUAGAUUAUUGAGUACAGUACUUGAAAAAUUCUAAAUUAUGACAGUCCUCAAUGACAGCUCUGUGACCUGUCUCAUGUUAGGUACCUUUCUGGGUUUCUGCCCCUGAAAUUGAAAUAGUUCUACCAACUUCAUAAUUCCGUGAUUCUGUGAUUCGAUCAUUCUGACCUGUAUGUGGGAGAACUUGUUUAAAUUUUCUCCCCUUUAGAAUCCAACAAAUGAAUGCUAAAUUUGAACUCUAGGUUUCAGAGUAUACUUUAACAUAUUAAGAAAUUAUAACGAUUUCUAACAAGACUUGUGUACUACCUUGUCAACUACCAUUUUGCCUGUCGUAGUUUUGUCACGAUGUGGUUUUCUAUUUGCUUAAAUUUUACAAUCUGUGAUCUCUAUGUAUGUAUGUAUGGUUGAGUUUAGUUCCUUGAAACCAAAGCGUUAAAUAUCAGUAAGGGCUAUAUCAAGAACUUUAAAAAAAAGAAGUGUGGUUAAUAUAAAUUCCAUCUUCCACAGAAGAUCAUGACUUUCAGAAUAUGAACUCGUGAACAACCGAGGGAAAAGAUUCUUUUCUGCUUUAUAACUAACUUUAUUAUUUUAUUCUCUUGAGAAUUCCCUAUCGAACUUGCCAAUGAGGGUUUUAUCUAACAUGGCACUUUUCUGGAAUGUCACCAUCACUGCCCCCAGUUAGGGAGAGAUUACUAUAACAAAUAGUGAAAACACUCACAUAGAUUCUCAUGAAUCAUGUUUUAAUUGAGAGCUAGCCAAAGAGGAAGGGUGGAGAGGUAAGGACAUAGAUUUAUCUCUGCUUGUGUGUUCAUUUGUACUUUUAUUAAGAGAAAAAACAUUUUCCUCUUUUUUAAAUAAAAUCUCAUCCUCUAGGAAGUAAAUUCAGGAGUAAGACGCUCCACACCUGUUUUGCAUAGUCCAAUUGAUUGCUAAUUUCAUUGUCUUUUGACAUGCUGGGAGGUAUGUUAAUUUGGAACACAUCUCUCUCAUAGAAGUAACAAUUAACACAGGUAAGAUGCAUCUUUUACCUUGAUAAAGACACCUGCUCCAGUGUUAUAGAAAUAGUUAGGGAAGGUCUAGAUAUAUAUAUCUAGAAAGAUAUAAUUUCAAGGAAUCAUGCUGUCUCAGGAUUGAAAGGAAUAUUAAAGUCAGUGAAUGUUCAACUGAAGGCGGUGUGGAACUGUAGAAAGAAUGUAUGCUAUGGGAUUAGAGGACCUGGAUCAAAUCACAGCUUUGCAACUUAGUAGCUGUGUGUUUGGGGUAGUUUAUUUAACCUCUCUGAGCCUCGGUUUUCUCACCUAUAAAAUGGGGAUAGUGACUACAUUACGGAGUUGGUGAAAGGAUUGAAGAUAAUGUAUGUGAAGGACCUGGGACAGACAUAAUAAGCAUUUAGUAAAUGAUUGUGGUGGUUGUGAUCGUAAGUGUCCCACCAACUGGUCAUUAAGCUUAUUUGAACAUUCCCAGUGACACGGAAUUCACCAACUGUUCAGGUAGCCCAUCUCAUGUUUGGAGAACUCUUCAGUGUUAGUUCUUCCUUUUACUGAGCCUAAAUCUUUUCCCCUAGAACUUUUUCUAUGGUUCUGAUUCUUGCCGUUGGGGCUGCACAGAUUAAGUGUGUAAAUCAAUUAAGCAUGUAAUCUAGAACGGUAUAUAUGCUUUAAGAGUGGUGUGACCAGUGUGGAUACUAGAGAUUUAUCAACACAGUUUAGGAUCAAACUAGCUUCCUUUUCCUGAAACCCACCCUUUUAAUACCUAUUGAAUUUGCUAUUAAUUAAAGCCUGUUUGUCUUUUGUACUAGAGCUGGAGUCAAAGCUUGAGUCCUGCGUGCUGUACCUGUCACAGUUUUGAGGGAGAGACUUAAGUGCAGAACCUUACAAUUAAAUCUUUAUCAUAUUAAUUAAUAAACUGGUAAAAUUCCAUUUGAGUCAUACAAAUAUAAUUUGAGUAUUAAAUCAUAUAUAAUGUGGCAUACCUGUAAGGUCAUAUAGUUAUAAAUGGAUAAGAACAUAGUGCACUUUAUUUAACAAACACCGAUACGGUAUUUAAUAUGUGCCAAGCACUGUUCUAAGUGCUUUUCAUAUAUUAACUCAUUUAAUUCUCAGUCAUAAUAACCCUAUGUGGUAAGUAUUAUUAUCUUCAGAUAAGGAAACUGAGGCACAGAGAGAUUAAGUAAUUUAUCCAGGUCAAAUAGCUAGUAAGUAGCAGAGUUAGAAUUUGAACCAGCAUGUUUAGUUCGAGAACCUGUGUUCAUACUCAUGCCCUGUUCCCAAAUUUGUUGAAAUUUAGAAAAAUUGUUACAUGGAUUGUUAGGGCUCCUUAAAAGCAAGAAAAACAUGACAAAUUAAUACUGCUGGAUUUACGACCUACUUUAUAAAAGCAUUAUUAGAGAAUAUCUUUUGAGUGCUAUGGAUUUAUGAGAAUAUAAAAUGUUGACUAGAAGCAAUAUCUAGCUCCAUUCUAAGCAGGACUAGGCUUCUAAUGGUUCAUUUUAUAUUUCAACUAUAUAAUUGAGAAGGAAUUGAUGAAUGCCUCUGAAUUUUUAUCUUCUCAUAUGUACUUUUUCUGAUAAAAAUUGUUUUCAAAUGUUAAGACAGCAGUACAUCAUAUUACAGUUUUAUUUUUAAAUUAACAUACAGUAAAGUUGAUUGUGUGUGCGUACCUGCAUGUGUGUACAGUUCUAUGAAUUUAAUACGAUAGAUUCAUAUAACCACAGUCAAGAUAUAUAACAGUUCCAUUAUCCUAAGAAACUCCCUUGUAUUACCCCUUUGUAGUUACCUCCUCAACCCUUGGCAACCAUGGAUCUAAUCUCCAUCACUGUAGUUUUAUCUUUAUGAGAAUGUCAUAUAUAAAUUAAAUCCUACAGUAUAUAACUUUUUGAGACUGGCUUCUUUUACUUAACAUGCCUUUGAGAUUCAUCUGAGAUUUGCAUAUGUCAGUAGUUCAUUCAUUUUCAUUGCUGAGUAGUAUUCCAUUGUAGAGA